ACCUUACUACAUGGAUACCUGUGGUAAUUCUAGAGCUAAUACAUGCUAAAAACCUCGACUUCGGAAGGGGUGUAUUUAUUAGAUAAAAAACCAAUGCCCUUCGGGGCUCCUUGGUGAUUCAUAAUAACUUAACGAAUCGCAUGGCCUUGCGCCGGCGAUGGUUCAUUCAAAUUUCUGCCCUAUCAACUUUCGAUGGUAGGAUAGUGGCCUACCAUGGUGGCAACGGGUAACGGGGAAUUAGGGUUCGAUUCCGGAGAGGGAGCCUGAGAAACGGCUACCACAUCCAAGGAAGGCAGCAGGCGCGCAAAUUACCCAAUCCCGACACGGGGAGGUAGUGACAAUAAAUACUGAUACGGGGCUCUUUUGGGUCUCGUAAUUGGAAUGAGUACAAUCUAAAUCCCUUAACGAGGAACAAUUGGAGGGCAAGUCUGGUGCCAGCAGCCGCGGUAAUUCCAGCUCCAAUAGCGUAUAUUAAAGUUGUUGCAGUUAAAAAGCUCGUAGUUGAACCUUGGGUCUGGCUGGCCGGUCCGCCUCACCGCGAGUACUGGUCCGGCUGGACCUUUCCUUCUGGGGAACCUCAUGGCCUUCACUGGCUGUGGGGGGAACCAGGACUUUUACUGUGAAAAAAUUAGAGUGUUCAAAGCAGGCCUUUGCUCGAAUACAUUAGCAUGGAAUAAUAGAAUAGGACGUGCGGUUCUAUUUUGUUGGUUUCUAGGACCGCCGUAAUGAUUAAUAGGGAUAGUCGGGGGCGUCAGUAUUCAGCUGU
rnacentral:rRNA from 1 species